rnacentral:RNase_P_RNA from 1 species
AGGAGUGGUCGGGUGUCCGUCUACCUUUAUGGUAGAAGGAAAGUCCGGACUCCUCUAGGGAGGGUGGUUCCUAACAGGAACAGGUAGCAAUACCUGGAAAGUGCCACAGAAAAAACACAGCCCUGCCAAACCUGGCGGGCAAAGGUGAAAAGGCGAGGUAAGAGCUCACCAUCCACCUUGAUGAUAGGUGGAGUAAGGCAAACCCCACCCGGAGCAAGGUCAAGAAGAACCCGGCUUCCCUAGGCCGAUGGGUUCGGGUAGACCGCAUGAGUCAAAAGGCGACUUUUGACCCAGAUGAAUGGACACCUUAAAACAGAAUCCGGCUUACGAACCACUCCUAAAU